AGGGAAGUGGACCUAAGUGGCCAAUCUUAAGAAGGUGGGAUGUGCCAUGGAAUUGGCAAACUAUUUCACUUUCUUCACUUGCCUGUGGACUAAGUUUUGUUCUGACAGGGCUAAUAGAAACAGCAGCCAUACAAUAUUUGGGAAUUGAAGUUGACACAUUAAGCUUGGAUGAGAAAUCAGAAAUUUUGUUUCUUGACCAAUCUAUUACAACUGUUGUUGUGCUUGGAGUUCUCUAUACUCUCACCAAGUCGUCUCAGCCACUUCCUAAUGAAAUAUAUCGAUAUGGUAAUUG